GGCUGUAAUGGCUUUUGGUGGAACUGCGCAACUUUGGGAUAUCCGGCUUGGGAACGAAACUUCCCUGCGGCUGGACAUGGAAUGCCGUUCUUCGUGAACAAGGAGCAAAUCUCGGUUUGUUCUGCGCCAUGACCCUAUUGCUUCAACUGUCUUCUCGGUGUCGCCAUUAGAACUUGUUCCGUGUUAGCACCAUAUCUACACAGGCAACUGUGUGGUGGAAGUGCAUCAUGUGAGGCGCUGAGCUCCUAGGUUAACGUGUCCCGGUUUAACCAACCAAUCGAUCCUUGCGGGUUUGCUCUUGGGCUGAAGGUAUGAGAAGUCUGCCUGAGGCCUGAUGCGGCAAAGUAAAUUGGCUUCGGCCUCGCAUUCACCGCCAUUAGGGGAGUUUAAUCCAGCGAUGGCAAAUGUGACCCGUGAUGGAGGCGACCGGGUUAGCACUGUUCUUGGGGGAAUUGUUCAAGUCUGGCCUCUCGGGGCUUAAACUGGCAGUGGAGUUAGGUAUUGCCUGCCUUCAAUGAAAUCAGAGAUUUCUCUGGUGGAGUGCAAUGAACCACAAUU
rnacentral:SRP_RNA from 1 species